GGGGACUUAGCUCAGUGGUGCAGAGUCUGCCUGGCAAGCGGGAGGUCCUGAGUUCGAUUCCCAGAUCCCUA
rnacentral:tRNA from 1 species